CCGAUCAGGUUACUCUGGGUUGACAUCUUGUGGCUUGUCUGUGCAACCGCCAUACAUACGGUUCUCAUGUUUAUAAGAGUGAAAACAAGAUCUAUUGUUUUGUAUAUGGAAACGAUGACCAGUUGGCUCUUUGGCUAGUUGGUGAGCGAGGGAGUUUUAGUUUUGAAUGGAAGUUGGAUGCGGUACCGAAGAAACGGUCAUUUAAGUGAGAGUCUAGUACAUCUCGACCCCCGAGGUUUUUAAAAUCACCACCUUCCCCCAGGCAGCAAAACUAACAAUUUACCCCUUCUUAUCUUUAAUAUGUUAUUCCUAUGAAUUAAUUAAUAUAUGAGUAAUAUUAUAUGUAUUUAAUUUUAAGUA